GGAUGUUCUCCUGGAGACACCUAGCUUGGUUGUCCUAGGGGAUUUUAGCAUCCAUGCCAACACGACCUUACAAGGGGCCGCUCGGGACUUCGUGGAAAGCAUGGCCUCCAUGGGGCUGUCCCUGAAUAAGUCUGGCACAACCCAUAGCCGCGGACAUGCCUUGGACCUGGUGUUUACCUCUAUGGAUGUUGGUGAUCUGACACUAAGUAAAAGCGAAACAAAAGAAGUGCCCUCUGUGACCCUUCCCCUCUGCAGGGAGGUGGGACUGAUUUGGAUGGUCCGCCCCCGCCACUUAAUGGAUCCAAAUAGUUUCCAGAGAGUGGUAGGGGAUGCUUCAUCCCAUGUUGAUGGCCUUUCAGCUGAUUCCCUGGUGGCCCGCUGGAAUGUGGAGUUAACCAGGGCUAUUGACUGUUUGGCUCCGAAGCGCCCUCUCCGAUUGCAUGGAGCCCGGACAGCCCCGUGGUUUUCCACGGAUCUGAGGGCAAUGAAACAAUUGUUGAGAUGGCUAGAGCGCCGGUGGUGGAUGACCCAUUCCGAAUCUGACCGGACACAGGUUAGAGCUCUACGUUGAGCCUACCAAGGGGCGAUAGCGACGGCGAAGAAGACUUUCUUUGCCGCCUCUAUUGCAUCUGCAGAAAGAAGAAGAAGAGUUUGGAUUUGAUAUCCCGCCUUUCACUUCCUUUAAGGAGUCUCAAAGCGGCUAACGUUCUCCUUUCCCUUCCUCCCCCACAACAAACACUCUGUGAGGUGAGUGGGGCUGAGAGACUUCAAAGAAGUGUGUCUAGCCCAAGGUCACCCAUGUUGGAAACUGGCCCCCUCGGGAAAGGCUGGCUCCUCUUCCCAGGCUUGUCGGGGCCUGUUGCCGGUAACCUACCCUGGCUGGCAUCCUGGCAGACCAGGGAGAUCUGAAUAGGCGACACCUCCCUGAUGAAAGGUGCACACCCCCUUCCCCCUUGCAUAGCAGCAGGAGAAAGAAAACAGUCAGAAAGUGGUCUACUUCAUCUCUAUUUUAUUCCUGACUGUACACUGUACAAAAACAUGUCUGCUCACUCAGAAUCCUCCGAGCAACUGAGAAAGUCCUCCUGGACACAAACAACAGGAAGGUCUCAUAUUACACAGAGUACAUAACCCUGAGAAUCGCCUGGAACAUCCUGUCCCACGCUUAGACCCAUCAUGUGAUGUAAAGAUCGAACUGCUUGUUCGCAGCUGCGUAGUACUCAUAUCAUAACAACCCAGCAGCUGCAUGUGGAGGAGCGGAAACGCGAACCCGGUUCCCCAGAUUACGAGACUACCGCUCUUAACCACUACACCACACUGCCUCUCAAACAGCAGCAGGAGACUUUUUCAGGUGGUUUACAAUUUAGCGGAACCACCUGCGACAUCAGGGCCCAGUACGGGCCACAUGAUCUCCUGCAAUGAUUUUGCAAAGUUUUUUGCAGAUAAAGUCACUCAGAUUCGAGAAGAGGUAGACUCCACCGUGGGAGCACGGCCGGGGCAGGAGAGUGCUAGAGUCCUGUCUAGUCAAAUUGCGUGGGAUCAAUUCCAAUUGGUUACCUCCGAGGAUGUGGACAGGCUGCUUGGACAAGUGAAGCCAGCCACCUGUCUCCUGGAUCCUUGCCCAUCCUGGCUUAUAAAAGCUAUCCGGGAAGGGCUGGGCGAUGGGCUUCGUGGGGUGGUGUAUGCUUCCCUCCGUGAGGGAGCCUUCCCAGACCUGCUAAAAGAGGCGGUUAUUAAACCGCUUCUUAAAAAACCAUCUUUAGAUGCGGCCACGAUGGCCAACUAUCGCUCAGUCUCAAAUCUUCCAUUCUUGGGCAAGGUGAUUGAGCGAGUGGUUGCUGAACAACUCCAGGCACGCCUGGAAGAAGCGGACCAUUUGGAUCCCUUCCAGUCGGGAUUCAGGCCUCAUCAUGGGACUGAAACUGCCUUGGUCGCACUGGUUGAUGAUCUCCGGCGGGCUAGGGACAAAGGUGAGAGCUGUGUCCUAGUUCUGCUGGAUCUCUCAGCGGCUUUUGACACCAUCGACCAUAACAUCCUUCUGGAGCGUCUUGAGGGGCUGGGAGCUGGGGGCACUGUCAUACAGUGGUUCCGCUCCUUCCUCCUGGGCCGUGUUCAGAAAGUGGUGGUGGGGGAUGAGUGGGCUCUCACUUGUGGGGUGCCUCAGGGUUCUGUCCUCUCCCCCAUGCUUUUCAACAUUUACAUGCAGCCACUGGGAGACAUCAUCAGGAGGUUUGGGCUGGGCGUUCAUCAGUAUGCGGAUGAUACCCAGCUCUACCUCUCUUUCAAAUCAGAAUCAGUGAAGGCGGUGAAGGUCCUGUGUGAGUGUCUGGAGGCGGUUGGAGGAUGGAUGGCGGCGAACAGAUUGAGAUUGAAUCCUGACAAGACAGAAGUACUGUUUUGGGGGGACAGGAGGCGGGCGGGUGUGGAGGACUCCCUGGUCCUGAAUGGGGCAACUGUGCCCCUGAAGGACCGGGUGCGCAGCCUGGGAGUCAUUUUGGACUCACAGCUGUCCAUGGAGGCACAGGUCAAAUCUGUGUCCAGGGCAGCUGUUUACCAGCUCCAUCUGGUACGCAGGAUGAGACCCUAUCUGCCUGCAGACUGCCUCGCCAGAGUGGUGCAUACCCUGGUUAUCUCCCGCUUGGACUACUGCAAUGUGCUCUAUGUGGGACUACCUUUGAAGGUGACCUGGAAACUACAACUAAUCCAGAAUGUGGCAGCCAGACUGGUGACUGGGAGCGGCCACUGAGACCAUAUAACACCCGUCUUGAAAGACCUACACUGUCUCUCAGGACAUUUCCAAGCACAAUUCAAAGUGUUGGUGCUGACCUUGUAAGCCCUAAAUGGCCUCAACCCAGUGUACCUGAAGGAGCGUCUCCGCCCCCAUCAUUCUACCCGGACACUGAGGUCCAGCGCCGAGGGCCUUCUGGCUGAGGGCCUUCUCAGUGGUAGAACACCCUCCCAGCAGAUGUCAAAGAGAACAACAACUACCAGACUUUUAGAAGACAUCUGAAGGCAGCCCUGUUUAGGGAAGCUUUAAAUAUUUGAUGUAUUACAGUAUUUUAAUAUUUUUUUGGAAGCCGCCCAGAGUGGCUGGGGAGGCCCAGCCAGAUGGGCGGGGGUAUAAAUAAUAAAUUAUUAUUAUUAUUACACCCAAAGACACCCCAUGUGGUUUAGCAGACAGACUAAGAGCUCAUGGCUAGGAGCUUUGGAGGGAGGUGGGGAAGAUGGGGAGUGAAAGGAGCUGGUUCUGGGUGGAAACAUCCACUCUGAGGAAAAGAUCACCAGCUAGAGAAAGGAGUCUCUGAGCUUAGUGGGAAGGACAGUGUGUGGUGUCCUGGGAGAGUAAAUCAGGCCAGGAAUGAACUGGGAGGCUGAGCCAGGAGAAGGAGGAGCUGGAAGAGACCGGCUGCUGGCUCAUCCCAGUCAGGAGGGGAGAGAUCCUUCUAGAAAGAGAAGACUCCCAAACCAGAGAUCCCUUGGGUCUUUGGCUUGGAGUACCUUGGGAGUAGGGUUGUCCAAGGGGUGUGUAACUGGCAGAAAGUGCCACCUUGUUAAGAACCAAAGUAUUACGUGAGAAACAACUGAGAAAACCUUGAAGGGAAAUAACAUUGUAAACUGAAAUAUCCUACGUUUUAUCCACUCGUGUCAUAAACUUCCUUGUUAAAUAAAAUCGUUAAUGUUUAUUUG